AUGGUGGCAAGCCGUGGGGCCUGAUGUGUGGUUCAAGCGAUGGGGUGACACAGUGGGGUAGCCAUGCCGCUUAGUGGAUUGUUGGUGUAAGCGUGUAGGUGAUGGUGUAGGUAAAUCCGCACUUGUUAGCUGAGACGUGAUGCGUAGCCUUAAUUGGUGAAGUUGGUGAUCCCGUGCUGUCGAGAAAAGCCUCUAGCGAUGUAUAUACUCGGCCCGUACCCCAAACCGACACAGGUAGUCAGGUUGAAAAUACUAAGGCGUUCGGGUGAACUGUGGUUAAGGAACUCGGCAAAAUGCCCCCGUAACUUCGGGAGAAGGGGGACCCUAUGGCGUUAACACCCAUUUGCGGUGGGAAGCGUUGUGGGGUCGCAGAGAAUAGAGGGAAGCGACUGUUUAUCAAAAACACAGGUCCAUGCGAAGACGUUAAGUUGAUGUAUAUGGACUGACGCCUGCCCGGUGCUGGAAGGUUAAGAGGACCGGUUAAUCAAGCUUUGCUUGGUGAAGCUGAGAAUUUAAGCCCCAGUAAACGGCGGUGGUAACUAUAACCAUCCUAAGGUAGCGAAAUUCCUUGUCGGGUAAGUUCCGACCUGCACGAAUGGCGUAACGACUUCCCUGCUGUCUCAACCACAGGCCCGGUGAAAUUGCACUACGAGUAAAGAUGCUCGUUACGCGCGGCAGGACGAAAAGACCCCGGGACCUUCACUAUAGCUUGGUAUUGGUGUUCGGUUCGGUUUGUGU
rnacentral:rRNA from 1 species